rnacentral:rRNA from 1 species
GACGUAGGGUGCGAGCGUUGUCCGGAUUUAUUGGGCGUAAAGAGCUCGUAGGCGGCUCGUCGCGUCAGCUGUGAAAACCCGCGGCUUAACUGUGGGCUUGCAGCUGAUACGGGCGGGCUAGAGUUCGGUAGGGGAGACUGGAAUUCCUGGUGUAGCGGUGAAAUGCGUUGAUAUCAGAAGGAACGCCGGUGGCGAAAGCGCUCGACUGGACCUCUGCUGACGCUGAGGCGCGAAAGCUAGGGGAGCAAACGGG